rnacentral:tRNA from 1 species
UCCCUGGUGGUCCAGUGGUUAAGACUCUGCACUCCCAAUGCAGGGGGCACAGCUUUGAUCCCUGGGCAGGGAA